UGGGGAAUCUUCCGCAAUGGACGAAAGUCUGACGGAGCAACGCCGCGUGAGUGAUGACGGCCUUCGGGUUGUAAAGCUCUGUUAAUCGGGACGAAAGGCCUUCUUGCGAAUAGUUAGAAGGAUUGACGGUACCGGAAUAGAAAGCCACGGCUAACUACGUGCCAGCAGCCGCGGUAAUACGUAGGUGGCAAGCGUUGUCCGGAAUUAUUGGGCGUAAAGCGCGCGCAGGCGGAUAGGUCAGUCUGUCUUAAAAGUUCGGGGCUUAACCCCGUGAUGGGAUGGAAACUGCCAAUCUAGAGUAUCGGAGAGGAAAGUGGAAUUCCUAGUGUAGCGGUGAAAUGCGUAGAUAUUAGGAAGGACACCAGUGGCGAAGGCGACUUUCUGGACGAAAACUGACGCUGAGGCGCGAAAGCCAGGGGAGCGAACGGGAUUAGAUACCCCGGUAGUCCUGGCCGUAAACGAUGGGUACUAGGUGUAGGAGGUAUCGACCCCUUCUGUGCCGGAGUUAACGCAAUAAGUACCCCGCCUGGGGAGUACGACCGCAAGGUUG
rnacentral:rRNA from 1 species